AAACCUAAACCCACCUCAAACCCCAACCCUAACCAAACCCUAAAAUCAGAUGGACAUGAUAAGUGAAAAACAAUGGUCUAGAAACAGCUAAUCCUGGUUGUAAGCUUAAACUUAAAACAAACUUUAAACUUAUUUCUGAAAUCUGAUUGGUUGAUUGAAAUGUUGUCCCAAGGUCAACAUAAUGUUGCCCUGAGGACAUCAACCACUUGGCAAAAUCAGGAGAGCCCUGCGGUUGCGUGCACGUCACAAACUAUGAAAAAAUAUAAAGUACAAUCUCCCCCAGCGAGAUAUCUUCAAGUUUGUGUGAACGCAAACAGCCAGGAGAUUCAGAGUUAGAGCGCUAUUUGCAACUGAUAUCAGUGAUGAACCGCUAGCUUUCGAGAAGAACAAAGGCAAAAUAUUCUUUCUUGGUCACUCAAGGUUGUGAAAAAGUAUCAAUCUGCGCUACCCGUACACCAUCAGAACAUGUUUUUAGUGCUGCUGGAAACAUUAUAACCCCAAUAAGGUUUCUCACUUUUUGUUUCAUGGUUUGAAGUGCUACAAUAAACACACACAUAGGCGCCAAUCCCGUGGGUGCUCAGAAGCUCGGCUCUAGCACCCAGCAAAAUGGCAAAGCACAUAUGCUCAGUUUAUUCACAUUAAAGGUACGGUUUUCCCUGAUCGCAACUUUAGUUAGUGUGUAAUCUUGCUGUUUGAGCUAAGGUAUUAUUUAUGCUCUAAGUUCACUGCCAAGCAAUAUAUUCCCCUUUCAAACUGUCAUGGAGUGACUUUUAUCGGCGGAACGAAAAGGGCGAAGAUCCUUCAGCCCGCAUGAAUUUUAAUGAAACACCAGGUCGGUUCCGGCCAACUCCGGGCAAACAAAUCGAGGAUUAGAAGGAUCAGGUGUGUUAAGCAAGUGUGGCGAUCGAUGAUUGGGCUUUGAAGAGGAGAGGAGGCCCAUAAAAAGGGCGUGAAAGAAACUGAAGGAGAGCAGUUGUUCCACGAGUUCGCUUUGGGAGCCCGCUGGAUUGUUGUGAAAGGGGGCGGGUGAGGGCAAGCCGGAAAAAUGAAACGAAGAGUAAAGACGAGCAUCUGGAUGAAGGAAGCCAAUGGCAGAUGAAAAGUAGCCUUCAACGAAGGAGUGAAAAGCCACGUUUGUUCCGGCGUUCACGGAAGAGCGAAGCGGGUGCUCGUUUUCCGUCGAUCGCUGUGUGUGAAGCGGAGGUCUAUGGUGUGUUUGGAGAGACAUCUUUUGUGUGGAUUUGUAGGCUGGGCGAAAUCAAGACAGGAGAAUUGGGCUGAAAUAAAGACGGAGAUAAGUGCUGAACUCAUUUAUACUGCAGUGAUGCGCUGUUGAUUCUACUGUGUAUGUUGAAGAAAUCUUAUAUGUCGAAAGGAUGGAGGAGUCUGCAUAAACAAGGCCCUGGAUGGUUGGGACAUCUGUAAGGAAAAAGGGAAGAAGGAGUUAAAGGAACAGUGCGAUACGUUGGAGUUUGUCUUGUUAUCACUCUGUCACUUGCAAUAUUAACCAUACUGUCCUCUUAGUUUGUCUUUGUUCCCUGAUUGAGUGUGUUAGCCCCCAGCUUGUUGUGAAAAUUCAUUGACACAUUGGAGUCGGCGGAGGAAGGGAAGGGCUCAAGUAGUCGUGGCCUUGACGUUUACAUAUGGUUGUCUUCUGCCUUAGUCAUCGAACGAUACAGGACUCUGAACACGGCCCAACGGGUGACCCUGACCUUCAUCACCGUGAGUGCGUGGAGUGCGGUGGGUGAUUAUUUUGUGAGAGUGUACACUUGGAUUUUUGGAGUGCUGUGUAUUGUCAGUGUUGUCAGCGAUCACUUCCCAGGCUGAAGAAAGAGACCUGUUUCCGAAGAGCAGAGUGGUGGCACUGGACAGCUGUCUUUUAUUCCUAUACGACUGGGACAGAUUCAACUCCUCCCACGCCUGUGGUGGCGCCUCGACUGUAGCAAGUAAGGCUGGGCUGUGAACAUUGUGUUCGACAUCUGCAGAGGGAGAGCUUGUAUCUAUCUAUUUGUGGUGGGGAAAAAGUGUACUUACUGUUGUUGUGUAUAACUAUACACGUGUCAAGUGUUUCCAGAUAUCAAUCUAUGUCCAUAUCUUCUGCCUGGUUGUCUGAAAGAAAGUUGAGGUGAAGUGGCUGGCCCCGCUCUUGUAGCACGCUGUACCGUACGACCCCCCCACCUCCAUCUACCUACCUCUGUGACCCCAUCUAGUGGGUGCGUUUGUCUAAACAACAAUCCGCCUCACCCGGUGCCUCCAUCUGCCCCUUUCCUGCCUGAAGCUAAGAGGUGGUGUAAUCCUCCUUGCAUGUUCCUUGAAGUAUUGUUAUUGUCGAAGAGAUUGUGUGUCUUUGCUGCCAGCCUGCAGGUCCGAGCCAAGGGCUCUGUGUCGUCGAGGGAUUGUGUUAUCCUAUGCCCUGAAGUUGACGCCUAAGUGGUCGUCGUAAGUCUGUUCGAGAGAGGAAGACUAGAAGUCGUUGUGUGCCUAUACGUCUGCUCCAACCACCAGAGUGUCAAGAAGGAUAAGCCUUGUACAUCCGCCCAUUCCCUUGCCAGAAAAGAGGCUAGAAACGUUCACUUGUAGUUCACCUGUGAGACGCAAAGAGAGGAAGCCGGGAAGACUUACAUGUAGUUCACGUGGAGACGAAGAGAGAGGGAAAGUCAGGAAGACUUACCUGCAGUCUACGUGAACAGUCAGAAGUGACUCGGAUCACUGUUCCCUCAGUUCCAGAAAGCUCACCAUUUUUAGAACCCUUCCCCCUUUCCCUGUUUUUAAUUAAAUAAAGACUGUUACAUUUUA